rnacentral:rRNA from 1 species
AUCUAUACUGUGAAACUGCGAAUGGCUCAUUAAAUCAGUUAUCGUUUAUUUGAUAGUACCUUACUACUUGGAUAACCGUGGUAAUUCUAGAGCUAAUACAUGCUAAAAACCCCGACUUCGGAAGGGGUGUAUUUAUUAGAUAAAAAACCAAUGCCCUUCGGGGCUCACUGGUGAUUCAUGAUAACUUAACGAAUCGCAUGGCCUUGCGCCGGCGAUGGUUCAUUCAAAUUUCUGCCCUAUCAACUUUCGAUGGUAGGAUAGUGGCCUACCAUGGUAGCAACGGGUAACGGGGAAUUAGGGUUCUAUUCCGGAGAGGGAGCCUGAGAAACGGCUACCACAUCCAAGGAAGGCAGCAGGCGCGCAAAUUACCCAAUCCCGACACGGGGAGGUAGUGACAAUAAAUACUGAUACAGGGCUCUUUCGAGUCUUGUAAUUGGAAUGAGUACAAUUUAAAUACCUUAACGAGGAACAAUUGGAGGGCAAGUCUGGUGCCAGCAGCCGCGGUAAUUCCAGCUCCAAUAGCGUAUAUUAAAGUUGUUGCAGUUAAAAAGCUCGUAGUUGAACCUUGGGCCUGGCUGGCCGGUCCGCCUCACCGCGUGUACUGGUCCGGCCGGGCCUUUCCUUCUGGGGAUCCGCAUGCCCUUCACUGGGUGUGUCGGGGAACCAGGACUUUUACUUUGAAAAAAUUAGAGUGUUCAAAGCAGGCCUUUGCUCGAAUACAUUAGCAUGGAAUAAUAGAAUAGGACGUGCGGUCCUAUUUUGUUGGUUUCUAGGACCGCCGUAAUGAUUAAUAGGGAUAGUCGGGGGCAUCAGUAUUCAAUUGUCAGAGGUGAAAUUCUUGGAUUUAUUGAAGACUAACUACUGCGAAAGCAUUUGCCAAGGAUGUUUUCAUUAAUCAGUGAACGAAAGUUAGGGGAUCGAAGACGAUCAGAUACCGUCGUAGUCUUAACCGUAAACUAUGCCGACUAGGGAUCGGGCGAUGUUAUUAUUUUGACUCGCUCGGCACCUUACGAGAAAUCAAAGUCU